CUUCAGCUGUUAUGUCAGUUCUUUGAUAUAUGCAUUUGGCGCCCUUCGUGGCUAAAUGAAAUCAUUAGUAAAACAUAAUCAAUAUUCAUAAUAUACACUUUUACUGUCUUGCCUUCUGAAGAGGCGUUAGAAAUUUAUGCUUUUUUUAACUAUACUAAGAAGUUUUGAGUUGAUUUUGUUUUCAAUAUUGAAAAAUACGGAAAAAUUCUGAAGGUAUGGACUUUAAUAUUAUUAAUUAUUUACUGCAAGAAAUUCACAAAUUCAUUGCUAUAUGUAGUUGGUUGCCACAAUUCAUAUUACAAUAAGAAAAAGUAGCUCGAGAAAGAAGGAAAGAUAUGGAUUAUUUAGUGUGAGAGAAGAGUUUGAUAAGAAUAUUUGAGAAAUGAUAGCAAAUGUCUCUCAUCUAAAACUUAUUGUAGUGCUCAUCAUACUUUGAGAGAAAUGGCAACCUGAAGUAUUCCAUCAAAUAUGCAGUGCUCAUUUUGUGUGAAACGUGAGAAAAAAUGAUCAUGAGAGAACUUCAUAAAGAUUUAAGUAUAAAAAAACGGAUACCUAAUUCCUCUACAAAAAUGAAAAGAUAUAAAAGA